GCCUGGGUGGCUCAGUCGGUUGGGCGUCUGACUUCGGCUCAGGUCAUGAUCUUGUAGUUUAUGAGUUCCAGUCCCGUGUCGGGCU
rnacentral:tRNA from 1 species